rnacentral:misc_RNA from 1 species
CCAAUAGCGUAUAUUAAAGUUGUUGCAGUUAAAAAGCUCGUAGUUGAAUUUCGGGAUCAGUACGCUGGUCGUGCCUUCGGUAUGUACUGGUGUUACUGGUUCCUACCUUCUGACGAACCGUCAUGUCAUUAAUUUGGUGUGGCGGGAAAUCAGGACUGUUACUUUGAAAAAAUUAGAGUGUUUAAAGCAGGCUCGCGCUUGAAUACAUUAGCAUGAAAUAAUGAAAUAGGACGUUCGAUCCUAUUUUGUUGGUUUCUAGGAUUGACGUAAUGAUUAAUAGGGAUAGUUGGGGGCAUUAGUAUUCAAUUGUCAGAGGUGAAAUUCUUGGAUUUAUUGAAGACUAACUACUGCGAAAGCAUUUGCCAAGGAUGUUUUCAUUAAUCAAGAACGAAAGUUAGAGGUUCGAAGGCGAUCAGAUACCGCCCUAGUUCUAACCAUAAACGAUGCCGACCAGUAAUUCGCCUGAGUUCUCUAAAUGACUCGGCGAGGGACUUCCG